rnacentral:rRNA from 1 species
CCUACGGGUGGCAGCAGUGAGGAAUAUUGGUCAAUGGGCGAGAGCCUGAACCAGCCAAGUAGCGUGAAGGAUGAAUGCCCUAAGGGUUGUAAACCUCUUUUAUAUGGGAACAAAAUCGGGUACGUGUACCCGCUUGUGUGUACCAUAUGAAUAAGGAUCGGCUAACUCCGUGCCAGCAGCCGCGGUAAUACGGAGGAUGCGAGCGUUAUCCGGAGUUAUUGGGUUUAAAGGGUGCGUAGGCGGGCUGUUAAGUCAGCGGUAAAGGCCCGGGGCUCAACCCCGGCCGGCCGUUGAAACUGGCAGUCUUGAGUUGUGGAGAGGUAUGCGGAAUGCGCGGUGUAGCGGUGAAAUGCGUAGAUAUCGCGCAGAACUCCGAUUGCGAAGGCAGCAUACCGGCUGCGAACUGACGCUGAGGCACGAAAGCGUGGGUAUCGAACAGGAUUAGAUACCCUAGUAGUC